UCAACUAAAUAUUAGACGCAAACCAAGAGAAUCCAGGGGUAAGAGUUAAGAUCAAGAUAAUUUCCUAACACUUGACACCAUCCUUCUAUUCAUCCAGAAGCUAAAUGAAAUUGAGGAUAUUCACUUAACGUAUUCUAAAUCUUAACUGCUCUCCACGAGUCCAAAAGAGCUAGACCCUGGCCUCACUUCAGGUAUUUACACUUUAAGAGACACCUGAAGUUGGAAAGGAAGAUGAACUAUGUCACAAAUGGUAGAUAUUAUGGACUUGUUAGAGAUAAUCAGGUAUACCAGAAUUACAUAACUUACAGUCAAAACCCAACUGGCUAAGCUUCCUUAUGAAAGAUCUGCAAGGAAACAUUGGUUCUUGCCUGCUGAAUGGCUGAAGAUGACAGCCAGUGGUGAAAGAUACAAAUCAGGGUGCUGAAAGUAACAAUAACCUAGCAGGGAUUGUGUCUUUUUGCCCACCACACACAACAGGUAUCAUUUAUCAACUGUAGCACUCCCACUAAUUCUGGGCUAAACCCCAGAGUCCUUCUCAACAGAGAUCGGGUGGCUACCUGCUGCCAAUGACUGUAGCUGCAAUGGGAGAUAAAACCUAUUUUGUCACCCAAUGUAGUAUGAGCCAGAUGUGGUAGCAUCCAUUUGGAGUGAAAGCCAGGUACCAAAGACUGAACAUUCUGUGUGGCUCUAGUGCUUCAGGACAUACCUGCUGCAGAUGUUUCCAAGGCCUGUACCACACUACCACUGGCUACAAGACUGGGCUAUGUGUAUCACAAGGUCUCUCAGUUCAGCGGAGAGAGAACAUCACCUUACUAAUGCUCUAAAAAGCAGCUAACUAUCCUGAAAGCUUUUCUGUGGAAAGGGCUAUAUUUUAUACCCUAUGUGGUCCCAGCACCACAAGAGGUGCUCAGUAAAUGUUUACUGAAUCAGUGAUAAUCAGAAUCAAAGAAUGACAGAGCUGAGAGAGCGUAAUCAUCAUCUGGAGGAAAAGCUAAGGGCCUUCUCACUAUAAGCUCGUCUCCGGAGCAGCCCGCGAAAAUGAGGUUAAAAACUGAUCUCACCCAACUCCUUCCUCUGACAGAUAAGUAAUAGAUAAGCAAACAAAAAGUCUGGGAGAGGGCUUCCCUGGUGGCGCAGUGGUUGCGCGUCCGCCUGCCAAUGCAGGGGAACCGGGUUCACGCCCCGGUCCGGGAGGAUCCCACAUGCCGCGGAGCGGCUGGGCCCGUGAGCCAUGGCCGCUGAGCCUGCGCGGCCGGAGCCUGUGCUCCGCGACGGGAGAGGCCACAACAGAGGGAGGCCCGCAUACCACAAAAAAAAAAAAAAAAAAAAAAAAAAAAAAAGUCUGGGAGAGAAGUGGCUUGCCCGAGGUCGCAGUGGCAGGUUCAGAAGGGAACUCUCCCGAUUCCCAGACCGAAGCGUCCUCCCUACCCGUGCUCAUCAGAAAGGAGUGGGCGCGAAGCGACUUCUUGGCAAGGCGCACUCGAAAAUCAAAGCUCACACUGCAAGAGUGCCUACGAUGUGCCAGGGUCUGUUCUAGGAACUGGGAAUAUAAUGGUGGAGAAGUUAACUACAUGAUGACCAGACUGUGUCCAUGACAUCAGCUGCCACAAUUCCGAGAACUGCCUUCAAGAAAUGGAAACAAACCAACCCUGGAACUGAAGAUUAACUGUAUUUAAAACAAGGUGACGCAGGUACAAAAUCUCACCUGAGUGCACUCGGGCAUAGUGAAGUUCUGGAGGUAAAUGAAGACGUUAAGAAUCAACUUUGGGAAGGCUAUGCAAUGAGGAUGGUGUUGAGGGAUGGACAGAGAUAUGAGAAAACAUGGAUAAAGAGCUAUGCAGGGAAAACUCAGUCAUGGGUACCAGAGAUCUUCAUUAUGAAUUAGGGCAAUAAAACUUUUAUUUUUGCAAAAUUAUUGUUUUCCUUAA